rnacentral:rRNA from 1 species
GUAGGNGGUUUGUCGCGUCUGCUGUGAAAACGCGAGGCUUAACCUCGCGCCUGCAGUGGGUACGGGCAGACUAGAGUGCGGUAGGGGAGACUGGAAUUCCUGGUGUAGCGGUGGAAUGCGCAGAUAUCAGGAGGAACACCGGUGGCGAAGGCGGGUCUCUGGGCCGUUACUGACGCUGAGGAGCGAAAGCAUGGGGAGCGAACAGGAUUAGAUACCCUGGUAGUCCAUGCCGUAAACGUUGGGCACUAGGUGUGGGACCCAUUCCACGGGUUCCGUGCCGCAGCUAACGCAUUAAGUGCCCCGCCUGGGGAGUACGGCCGCAAGGCUAAAACUCAAAGGAAUUGACGG